UACGGGGGGGGCAAGCGUUGUUCGGAAUUACUGGGCGUAAAGGGCUCGUAGGUGGUCAACUAAGUCAGACGUGAAAUCCCCCGGCUUAACCGGGGAACUGCGUCUGAUACUGGAUGGCUAGAGUGUGGGAGAGGGAUGCGGAAUUCCAGGUGUAGCGGUGAAAUGCGUAGAUAUCUGGAGGAACACCGGUGGCGAAGGCGGCAUCCUGGACCAUGACUGACACUGAAAAGCGAAAGCCAGGGGAGCAAACGGG
rnacentral:rRNA from 1 species